rnacentral:rRNA from 1 species
UACGUAGGGGGCAAGCGUUGUCCGGAAUCAUUGGGCGUAAAGAGCGUGUAGGCGGCCAGAAAAGUCCGCUGUGAAAACUCGAGGCUCAACUUCGAGCUGUCGGUGGAAACUUUCUGGCUAGAGUCCGGAAGAGGAGAAUGGAAUUCCUGGUGUAGCGGUGAAAUGCGCAGAUAUUAGGAAGAACACCGGUGGCGAAGGCGGCUCUCUGGAACGGUACUGACGCUGAGACGCGAAAGCGUGGGGAGCGAACAGG